rnacentral:sRNA from 1 species
ACUAUUAUCAUUAAUCAGCAACACACAAUGUUCGAAUGGUUGAAACUGUUGAGGUGACAAAUCCGUUUGUGAAUUGCACCGUUUUUAUUUACCAUUCAUAAAUUAUAAUUUAUAGCGAUAAGGACCGAACAAAAUAAUUUUUUCAUCGCGGACCAAGUAUAAACUAUUUUUACUUAAGAUUAAAUUUAUCAUUGUCCGUUUCAAAAUUAGAGUGAUCUAAUCUGCUAAAUGGUAAUGAUUUAAUCCGGUUCGCUCGCAACAUGCAUUCAAAACUUAA